rnacentral:rRNA from 1 species
CUUGGCGACCAUAGUGCUUUAGUCCCACCUGUUCCCAUUCCGAACACAGAAGUGAAAUGAAGUCACGCCGAUAAUAGUGCAACGUACGAUUGUGCGAAAGUAGGUCAUCGCCAAGC